rnacentral:rRNA from 1 species
AGAGUUUGAUCCUGGCUCAGGAUGAACGCUAGCUACAGGCUUAACACAUGCAAGUCGAGGGGCAGCAUGUUGGUUGCUUGCAACCAACGAUGGCGACCGGCGCACGGGUGAGUAACGCGUAUCCAACCUACCCUUGUCCAUCGGAUAACCCGUCGAAAGGCGGCCUAACACGAUAUGCGGUUCACAGCAGGCAUCUAACGUGAACGAAAUGUAGAAGGAGAAGGAUGGGGAUGCGUCUGAUUAGCUUGUUGGCGGGGUAACGCCACCAAGGCUACGAUCGAGUAGGGGUUCUGAGAGGAAGGUCCCCCANAUUGGAACUGAGACACGGCCCAAACGUCCUACGGGAGGCA